rnacentral:misc_RNA from 1 species
AGUGACUGCGGAGGAUCAUUAUCGAAUAAGCUUGGUUGGGUUGUUGCUGGCUCUUUUAGAGUAUGUGCACGCCUGACAACCAACUUUAUUACCACCUGUGCACCCUUUGUAGAUCUGGAAUACCUCUCCAGGGAGGACUGCCGUGCGCAAGGCAGCUUGCAUUUCAGAUCUAUGUUUUUAUACACACCAAGUAUGUUACAGAAUGUUUAUUUAAACGAGGCUUAAUUGCCUUUGAAACUUUAUACAACUUUCAACAACGGAUCUCUUGGCUCUCGCAUCGAUGAAGAACGCAGCGAAAUGCGAUAAGUAAUGUGAAUUGCAGAAUUCAGUGAAUCAUCGAAUCUUUGAACGCACCUUGCGCUCCUUGGUAUUCCGAGGAGCAUGCCUGUUUGAGUGUCAUGAAAUUCUCAACCUUUUCAAUUUUUCUUUUCAA